GUUCUUGUAUGAGUGCCUCCACAGCUUCAGUCUGCUUCGAGUCAUAUUCAAGUUAAGGAUAGUUACUUAAAUGCUUAACGUACUGAGAACAAAACGACAAGACUUGCCUGAGCAGGAGUCAAGUAAAGUCCAGGAUGGAUGAGCCUAUUGAUAAGAUCAAGCACUGGGGUGAUUUGGAGGAAGAGGAACAAGAGGAGGAGAUGGAUGAAGAGGAACUAGAAGACGGCAUGGAAUCGGUUGAUACAUUUUCGAGCACUCCAACUGGCACAGAGACACCGAAUGCAAUUGAAGCAGAGAAAGGAAUCCGAUAGGCCUCUAUAUCAAGUACUUGAAGAAUUGCUCCUGGAACAGUGUUGGGAACCACACACACAUACGUUAUUAAAACUGGUACUCAAGACAAGCCGGGAGCAAAAAGGGUUUAUUUGCUGAUGAGGGGCAAAAGACAGAUCGUGUGGAUAUCAGUUUACAGCCAGAAGAGCUGGAGGUCAUGUAUGAGGAGGCAAGAGAAGAGGAGAGAAACUACGCAAUAAGCCAGAGGACUUCAGUGACAUGGUCGCCGAGAUGCAAGAAGUACAUCAGAUAUGAAUCAUGCAAGCAUGACAAAAGUCAGGGGAAGUAUCACUAAGGCAGAUCCAUGAUGAUAGAUUCUGAUAAAAGGUUGGUGGAUUUACUUAGUUACGUAACAGCAGAUUUUGGUUGUAGUAGUUAUGUAACUUUCACAUUUACUCUCUUCAUAUUUAAAUGCCUCUUUCGCUGCAUUCAUCGUCCCUUUAAGUUAGCCUUCAGGCACUUAAAUCGCACAAACACAGCUAGGCUUUGCGGUCUCAGUAGCGAUUGUGGUUUGCAUUUUGUGCUCUCCGCAGGCCAGUCUCCCUUCACUACUUCUCUUUGAUAAAUUCCAUUACAUCUACGUAGAAAGCCGCAUUGGUUCUCAGUGUCUCAUGGAUCCCAUUACACCUUGCACUUGAAAAGGAACAAAACAAAUUCAAGAAAUAAGGAAGAAGAGCAGAAGUUGUGUCAUGCUGUUUUGGCUGCUAAUCAUUUCAUGUGUAUGGGUGCGAGCAAGGAGUUGAAAAAAACCAAAAUCUUCUACAACUUCAACUGGUGAUCUUGGAAUUGGGCUUGAACAGCUUCAUCUAAUGUCAAAAGUUAAGAACAUUGCUUCUCUGCAGCUAUAUGGAGAGGAGCAAGCGAGUGUAAUUUCAAGCAAACAACUUCACCAUAGAACGCAGUUCAUCACAAUGCCAGUACGAAUAAGAAGUCAGAUCAGAAGAUUAUGUCCUUUUCGGGUCUCAGCUCUGUCUCUUCUUCCAUAAGAAGAUCAAAGAAAACGACGGCCAUUGCACAAGUCGUUUAUCUCUAUAGUUUGGACUUGACAUAGCGCUUCAGAGAAAGGGAAUAGAGUUUUCAUAAAUCAUUAUCGUUUUUUUUUAUGUUGCAUUAGUUCUCAGCUAGGUCAAUUUCUCAAAUGAAAAAUAAGUUUUUGAAAUUAAGAUACAUAUAAAUGUACGUUUUAAACUUUGUCAAAAUAUCAUAACAAAUACAUUUCUCUUUCCGUAAUUGUUAAA